AGCAGCCGCGGUAAUUCCAGCUCCAAUAGCGUAUAUUAAAGUUGUUGCAGUUAAAAAGCUCGUAGUUGAACUUCAGGCCUGGUUGGGCGGUCCGCUUAACGGCGUGUACUGUCUGACUGGGUCUUACCUCUUGGUGAGCCGGCGUGCCCUUUAUUGGUGUGCGUCGGGGAACCAGGACUUUUACCUUGAGAAAAUUAGAGUGUUCAAAGCAGGCUAACGCUUGAAUACAUUAGCAUGGAAUAAUGAAAUAGGACGUUUGAUCCUAUUUUGUUGGUUUCUAGGAUCGACGUAAUGAUUAAUAGGGAUAGUUGGGGGCAUUAGUAUUCAAUUGUCAGAGGUGAAAUUCUUGGAUUUAUUGAAGACUAACUACUGCGAAAGCAUUUGCCAAGGAUGUUUUCAUUAAUCAAGAACGAAAGUUAGGGGAUCGAAGACGAUCAGAUACCGUCGUAGUCUUAACCAUAAACUAUGCCGACUAGGGAUCGGAUGAUGUUAAUUUUUAAUGACUCAUUCGGCGCCUUAC
rnacentral:rRNA from 1 species